GGGUAGCUUGAUCAGCACAUCAUUGAAUUAGUUUGCAGUUCUUCUUCAAAUUCAUAUUGCUUAACCUCAAAGUUUUACCAACAUUGCAGUUCAAGGACACGAGGCUGACAACAUCGAUCUUAUGUCAAUCCAACGU